ensembl:snRNA
GUGCUGUGCGGAAGGAGAGAAGGUCAACAUUCCUUUUGACAAGGAUGGAAGAGGCCCUUGGACCAGAUGACAUACAUACGGUUAAGGCAUUGCCACCUAUUUCACGACAUCUAACCACUAUUAAAA